rnacentral:rRNA from 1 species
UUAGAGGUUAAGCCCGAUGAACCUGAAUAUCCGUUAUGGAAAAUUCAUCACUAAUACUAUGAUAUAUAUCAUAUUAUAGAAAUAGUGUGCAAUUUUUCCAUAUAAGGACAUUGUAAUCUGUUAAUGUAAUAAAUAUUUAUCAUAAGAUCUUUUACUUAAGUUUAUUCAAAUUAGUUAUUUUCGGAUUUCUAACAUAGAAUAAAUGUAUUAGAUUUGAUAAAUCAUUGACAGAUUUAGUUAUAUAUAGUGCUUAAAUUUUUCGGAAUUUUACAAUGGUGAAUAGAUCUAUUGAUUUAUUUAUAUUGUAUGCGCUUAUAUGAUUAACAAUGCGAUAGAUUCAGGAUACCUUCGGGACCCGUCUUGAAACACGGACCAAGGAGUCUAACAUAAUGUCAAGGUCAUUGGGUAUUUUUAAUAAAACCCAAUGGCGUAAUUAACUUAACUGUUUUAAAUGGGAUUAGUUUAUAUUUUAUUAUGAAAUAUAAAUUCAAUCCCGGGGCGUUCUAUACAGUUAUGCAUAAUGAUAUUUAUAUUAUUUAUGCCUCUAACUAGAGC